rnacentral:rRNA from 1 species
UAGGGAAUCUUCGGCAAUGGGGGGAACCCUGACCGAGCAACGCCGCGUGAGUGAAGAUGGUUUUCGGAUCGUAAAGCUCUGUUGUUAAGGAAGAACGAGUGUGAGAAUGGAAAGUUCAUACUGUGACGGUACUUAACCAGAAAGGGACGGCUAACUACGUGCCAGCAGCCGCGGUAAUACGUAGGUCCCGAGCGUUGUCCGGAUUUAUUGGGCGUAAAGCGAGCGCAGGCGGUUAGAAAAGUCUGAAGUGAAAGGCAGUGGCUCAACCAUUGUAGGCUUUGGAAACUGUUUAACUUGAGUGCAGAAGGGGAGAGUGGAAUUCCAUGUGUAGCGGUGAAAUGCGUAGAUAUAUGGAGGAACACCGGUGGCGAAAGCGGCUCUCUGGUCUGUAACUGACGCUGAGGCUCGAAAGCGUGGGGAGCGAACAGG